GACGAACGCUGGCGGCGUGCUUAACACAUGCAAGUCGAACGGAAAGGCCCUGCUUUUGUGGGGUGCUCGAGUGGCGAACGGGUGAGUAACACGUGAGUAACCUGCCCUUGACUUUGGGAUAACUUCAGGAAACUGGGGCUAAUACCGGAUAGGAGCUCCUGCUGCAUGGUGGGGGUUGGAAAGUUUCGGCGGGUGGGGAUGGACUCGCGGCUUAUCAGCUUGUUGGUGGGGUAGUGGCUUACCAAGGCUUUGACGGGUAGCCGGCCUGAGAGGGUGACCGGCCACAUUGGGACUGAGAUACGGCCCAGACUCCUACGGGAGGCAGCAGUGGGGAAUAUUGUACAAUGGGCGGAAGCCUGAUGCAGCAACGCCGCGUGCGGGAUGAAGGCCUUCGGGUUGUAAACCGCUUUCGCCGGUGACGAAGCGUGAGUGACGGUAAUGGGUAAAGAAGCACCGGCUAACUACGUG
rnacentral:rRNA from 1 species